rnacentral:tRNA from 1 species
UCUAAUAUGGCAGAUUAGUGCAAAGAAUUUAAGCUUCUUACAUGGUUUAAACCUGUUAGAA